GAUUAAUCUAGUGGCGGACGGGUGAGUAACGCGUGGGUACCUGCCUUAUACAGGGGGAUAACAGUCAGAAAUGACUGCUAAUACCGCAUAAGGCUGCAUGGCAAAAACUCCGGUGGUAUAAGAUGGACCCGCGUUGGAUUAGCUAGUUGGUGGGUAACGGCCCACCAAGGCGACGAUCCAUAGCCGGCCUGAGAGGGUGAACGGCCACAUUGGGACUGAGACACGGCCCAGACUCCUACGGGAGGCAGCAGUGGGGAAUAUUGCACAAUGGGGGAAACCCUGAUGCAGCGACGCCGCGUGAAGGAAGAAGUAUCUCGGUAUGUAAACUUCUAUCAGCAGGGAAGAUAGUGACGGUACCUGACUAAGAAGCCCCGGCUAACUACGUGCCAGCAGCCGCGGUAAUACGUAGGGGGCAAGCGUUAUCCGGAUUUACUGGGUGUAAAGGGAGCGUAGACGGUGUGGCAAGUCUGAUGUGAAAGGCAUGGGCUCAACCUGUGGACUGCAUUGGAAACUGUCAUACUUGAGUGCCGGAGGGGUAAGCGGAAUUCCUAGUGUAGCGGUGAAAUGCGUAGAUAUUAGGAGGAACACCAGUGGCGAAGGCGGCUUACUGGACGGUAACUGACGUUGAGGCUCGAAAGCGUGAGGAGCAAACAGGAUUAGAUACCCUGGUAGUCCACGCCGUAGACGGUGAAUACUAGGUGUCGGGGAA
rnacentral:rRNA from 1 species